ACAUACGACCAUACCCACUGGAAAACUCGGGAUCCCGUCCGCUCUCCCAUAGAUAAGCCAGGGAGGGGAAGGUUAUCUAUAGGAGGAGUUUUUGAUAGGGGUUUGGAUGAUUUAGCUAAAAACGCCGCUGCCGUUUUUC
rnacentral:rRNA from 1 species